GGAUGACCAGCCACACUGGAACUGAGACACGGUCCAGACUCCUACGGGAGGCAGCAGUGGGGAAUAUUGCACAAUGGGCGCAAGCCUGAUGCAGCCAUGCCGCGUGUAUGAAGAAGGCCUUCGGGUUGUAAAGUACUUUCAGCGGGGAGGAAGGUGUUGUGGUUAAUAACCGCAGCAAUUGACGUUACCCGCAGAAGAAGCACCGGCUAACUCCGUGCCAGCAGCCGCGGUAAUACGGAGG
rnacentral:rRNA from 1 species